UCCUGGCUCAGAUUGAACGCUGGCGGCAUGCUUUACACAUGCAAGUCGAACGGCAGCGGGGGCUUCGGCCUGCCGGCGAGUGGCGAACGGGUGAGUAAUGCAUCGGAACGUGCCCAUGUCGUGGGGGAUAACGUAGCGAAAGCUACGCUAAUACCGCAUACGCCCUGAGGGGGAAAGCGGGGGAUCUUCGGACCUCGCGCGAUUGGAGCGGCCGAUGUCGGAUUAGCUAGUUGGUGGGGUAAAGGCCUACCAAGGCGACGAUCCGUAGCUGGUCUGAGAGGAUGAUCAGCCACACUGGGACUGAGACACGGCCCAGACUCCUACGGGAGGCAGCAGUGGGGAAUUUUGGACAAUGGGGGCAACCCUGAUCCAGCCAUGCCGCGUGAGUGAAGAAGGCCUUCGGGUUGUAAAGCUCUUUCAGUUGGGAAGAAACGGUGCGCUCUAACAUAGCGUGCUAAUGACGGUACCGACAGAAGAAGCACCGGCUAACUAC
rnacentral:rRNA from 1 species